UAUGGCCACAUCAGGCUGAAACACCAGUUCUCGUGUGAUGACCGAAGUUAAGCAACGUCGAGCCUGAUCAGUACUUAGAUUGAUAACCGCUUGGGAAUUCCAGAUGC